rnacentral:rRNA from 1 species
UACGUAGAAGACUAGUGUUAUUUCAUACGUUUAAUAGGUUUAAAGGGUACCUAGACGGUAUAAUUAAGUCUUAAACAACGAUACAAUUAUACUAGAGUUAUAUAUAAGGAGGCGAGUAUUUAUGGAGUAGAGUUGAUAUUCUUUGAUACCUAACGACUGAUAACGGCGAAAGCAACCUCUUAUCCAAUAACUGACGUUGAGGGACGAAGGCUCGGGUACGAACAGG